GAUGAACGCUAGCGGGAGGCCUAACACAUGCAAGCCGAGCGGUAUUUGUCUUUCGGGACAGAGAGAGCGGCGUACGGGUGCGGAACACGUGUGCAACCUGCCUUUAUCAAGAGGAUAGCCUUUCGAAAGGAAGAUUAAUACUCUAUAAUAUAUUGAUUGGCAUCAGUUAAUAUUGAAAGUUACGGCGGAUAAAGAUGGGCACGCGCAAGAUUAGCUAGUUGGUGAGGUAACGGCUCACCAAGGCGAUGAUCUUUAGGGGGCCUGAGAGGGUGAUCCCCCACACUGGUACUGAGACACGGACCAGACUCCUACGGGAGGCAGCAGUGAGGAAUAUUGGUCAAUGGGUGCAAGCCUGAACCAGCCAUCCCGCGUGAAGGACGACUGCCCUAUGGGUUGUAAACUUCUUUUGUAUAGGGAUAAACCUCUCCUCGUGAGGAGAGCUGAAGGUACUAUACGAAUAAGCACCGGCUAACUCCGUGCCAGCCGCCGCCGUA
rnacentral:rRNA from 1 species